rnacentral:misc_RNA from 1 species
GAAAUGCGAUAAGUAGUGUGAAUUGCAGAAUUCAGUGAAUCGUCGAAUCUUUGAACGCACAUUGCGCCCUUUGGUAUUCCAAAGGGCAUGCCUGUUCGAGCGUCAUUUGUACCCUCAAGCUUUGCUUGGUGUUGGGCGUCUUGUCUCCAGUUCGCUGGAGACUCGCCUUAAAGUAAUUGGCAGCCGGCCUACUGGUUUCGGAGCGCAGCACAAGUCGCGCUCUCUUCCAGCCAAGGUCAGCAUCCACAAAGCCUUUUUUCAACUUUUGACCUCGGAUCAGGUAGGGAUACCCGCUGAACUUAAGC